AACGAACGCUGGCGGCACGUUUUAAGCAUGCAAGUCGAAUGGCAGCAGGGGCGACUCUGUGAGAAUGGCGAACGGGUGAGUAACACGUAGGUGAUCUGCCUUGAGGAUGGGGAUAGCCUGUGGAAACACAGGGUAAUACCGAAUAAGCUGACGGGACUUUGGUUUUGUUAGUAAAGGUGCUACGGCACCGCCUUGAGAGGAGCCUGCGGCUGAUUAGCUAGUUGGUGGGGUAAAGGCCUACCAAGGCGACGAUCAGUAGCCGGCCUGAGAGGGUGUACGGCCACACUGGGACUGAGACACGGCCCAGACUCCUACGGGAGGCAGCAGCUAAGAAUCUUCCGCAAUGGGCGAAAGCCUGACGGAGCGAUGCCGCGUGAUCGAUGAAGGUCGAGAGAUUGUAAAGAUCUUUUCUACAUGAGGAAUGAGUCUGGGAGGGAAUGCCUGGAUGAUGACGUUAGUGUAGGAAUAAGCCCCGGCUAAUUACGUGCCAGCCGCCGCCGUAA
rnacentral:rRNA from 1 species